CUCAGAUGCAGAACAGGAGGCCGGUCCAGGACUGAGGGUGUAGGGACGCAGACACCGCUUGUCCUAUGUGACCCGGACAAGUUGCUGCCUCUGUCUGGGCCUCGGUCUUCUGUCUGUAAAAUGGGGGUGACAGAGAACCAGGGUGGCACCUUAGAGCACAGAGCACUGCUCAGCAAUGGUGAGCUCUGUGGCAACAGACCUGGGGUGACAGAUGGCCGGGGCGGGGCGCCACGCACCCUGCCCCUCCCGUGCCCGGUGAGGUCGGCAGGACCCAGCGACGUGCACGAUUCACCCUCGCGGCCGGCGGUCGGAGGGCGGCCGGGGGCCCCGCGCCGCGGGCUCUGGAAACACGAACAGAGAUGACGCAUGCCUCCUGCUCCCAGGAUUUCACAGACAUGCGAACUACGUGCUCCUGAGGCCAAGUGUGGAAAUGCAAUGUGGUGACUUCACACUGCUUACACGCACCGAAGAGAUCCACGUUCGGGAGCGGGUGUGAUCAAUGGCCCGGUGGGCCAAGCGCUCCUGGGAAAUGCAGGCUGGCGGUGCCGGGCAAUGCUCCGAGCCCCUCACUCCUCCCCCCGCAGCAGGCUCUAUGCUCAGCGCCCCCUCCUGUCCUGGACGGUCCCCAGGGCCAGUCUCCUGCACCGACAGUGCUCAGUGUCCAGAGCAACCCCAGUGUAGCCAGCUCCAGGCACCGACUCACAACCCUGUCUGCAGAGGCUCCCGUCACGCCCCCACCUGGGACCCUGUUGGGGUCCGAUGUCCCUCCCCAGCCACCCCUGCACUUCAGCAUCUCUCGGAGAUGGCCUGUCGUCCACUCCUGGGGUUGGCACUCGCCCGGGCUCUGGGCCAGGUUGCCCCGCAGGCCGGUCCUUGUCCUCGCGGGGCAGGGACAUACCGGCCCAGCUCCAUAUCCGGCGGGCCGCAGGGGUGAGUGGUCAGGGAGCCCAGCGGGCGACCGGGGAGCCCACAGUGGCCCUUCUGAAUGACGUUUCUCGUAUUUACCGUCCGCACUUCUCCGAGGUCACGCUGUGGCCUCCUAAUAGGCCGGCGUCCCAGGGAAACUCACACUUUUCCACUUUGGGGAAGUGCAGCGAAAGCACCCUCUUCCAGAAGGUUCUUCCCCACACCUGUGUGGUAGCAGCCUUCUAAGACACUCGUGGAGGCUCGAGCCUCACUGCCAUGAUUUCGUGAGUGAGGAACAGAGCACUUUCGGGUGACACCCUUUUCUAAACGUGACCACUCAUUGUUUGGCCUUAAUGCAAGCGUGAGACACCUUCUGCCAUCCCGCCACUGGGGCAGACUCUCUGGGCCCUGCUCCGGCCAAGUCCCAGGUCAUUUCCCGCUGAAGACCGGGAGGGCCGCCGUGUGUCCAUCCUGGGCCGCACGUUUAGGUAAUUUUACAAAUUCGUUUCCUCCUUAAAUACCAUUCAAGGGAACUAGCAACAGUCACCUCCCCGAAGGGUUCCUGAUGGGUUACACGGGCCUCGUCCAUCCUGCCCGUGCCCCGUGUCCCUCGGCCCCAAAUGCGGGGCCAGCCACGGCCGCGUUUGAACAUCCGCUCGCUCCGCGUCACUCGCCUGGAGAAUUAUCGUGGGGGCGCGAACGCUGCGUCUCACCCUGUGUAACGAUCUGGGUCGGGGCUGAGGGCACAUGUCCUACCCUUGCCUCCUCGUGGCCUCCUCAGCAGAGUUCUGGGCUGAGGCCCAGCGGGGCCGGGGGCUGCUGGGAAUCCCUUCCCCUCUGCAGAAGACCUUAGUGGAGGGGCCCCCCCUCUUACGGUGGUGGACUGGUUUUGCCUUGGGGAUCCACCGCUGCUCUUCCAGCCCACGUAUUACAGGCUCGGCUGCCUGGCUGCCAUCCAGGGUGGACACGUGACCCGGGGUGGGGGGGGGUGAUUCGGGGACUGCAUCCAUGUCAGUGAAGUGGGUUCUUGAGGACAGAGCCGAUGUGGGUGGGACAGAGAGAGGAGAAAUCUCAUCUUAGCAAUACAUUUUAAAUCCUUUUUAAAUAAAAUGUUUAUUUUUGAGAGAGAGACAGCAUGAGCAGGGGAGGGGCACAGAGAGAGAGACACACAGAAUCCAAACAGGCUCCAGGCUCCGAGCUGUCAGCACAGAGCCCGACUCGGGGCUCGAGCCCACAAGCUGGGAGAUCAUGACCUGAGAUGAAGUCGGACGCUCAACCGACUGAGCCACCCAGGCACCACACCUUCUAAACCCUUGAUCAAGCCGUACCUGAAAUCAGCAUGCCCUGACCUUCCGGGUUGUGUUUUCCGCCACCUGCAACCGAGGGAGGCUGGCCAGCCUGUGUUCAAGCUGAAGGGGCAGGAUGGGGCGGCGUGGGCUCGCUGGGCCCACGCCAGGCAGCGGAGAAGAUGCCAUGACCCCAUCGUGAGAAAAGCCUCUGACAAAUCCAAGUUGAGGGACAUUCUACAAAACACCGGUCCAAUCCUCCUUACAGCUGCCAAGGUCGCCAAAAGCAAGGAAAGUCCAAGAGUGUCCCAGCCGAGAGGGGCCCGAGGAGACGUGGUGACCAAGGGUCAUGUGGUCCUGGCACAGAAGGAGGACAGUGGGACAUUAGCAAAGCCCAUUUCCCAUCACGGGUUCACACGCUCCUUCCCUGUGACAAACGUACCAUCGUGACCCAAGACGGGAGCGGCAGGGCAUCUGGCUGGGGGCACACGGGGACUCGCCACCCUCUCUUUGCAGCAUUUCUGUAAAUUGAAACCCUUCUAAAAUUUCCCAUGUGUGUUUAAAACAGGAAGGAGAAAAAUAAAUCACAACUUGAAAAUUUA